AGAUUAAGUUAUUAAGGGCGCACGGUGGAUGCCUUGGCACUAGAAGCCGAUGAAGGACGUUACUAACGACGAUAUGCUUUGGGGAGCUGUAAGUAAGCUUUGAUCCAGAGAUUUCCGAAUGGGGAAACCCAGCAUGAGUUAUGUCAUGUUAUCGAUAUGUGAAUACAUAGCAUAUCAGAAGGCACACCCGGAGAACUGAAACAUCUUAGUACCCGGAGGAAGAGAAAGAAAAUUCGAUCCCCUUAGUAGCGGCGAGCGAAACGGGAAGAGCCCAAACCAACAAGCUUGCUUGUUGGGGUUGUAGGACACUCUAUACGGAGUUACAAAGGACGACAUUAGACGAAUCAUCUGGAAAGAUGAAUCAAAGAAGGUAAUAAUCCUGUAGUCGAAAAUGUUGUCUCUCUUGAGUGGAUCCUGAGUACGACGGAGCACGUGAAAUUCCGUCGGAAUCUGGGAGGACCAUCUCCUAAGGCUAAAUACUCUCUAG
rnacentral:rRNA from 1 species